rnacentral:ncRNA from 1 species
AUAAAUGCAGUGAAAAAGAGGAGUAAGUCAUUACCGCCAGAAGAGAGAGUUGUCCACAGGCUGGAAGGCAGCUUUGGAAAUGUGUGGCUGAAUGUAGCUUUGGAGCAGUAUAGCUGAACUUAGAGUAAGCUAUAACGGAGUUAUUCACGUUAAAGAAUAUUAAUAAGGAUUGUACGAUUUCCGUUUGAUAAUCAAAGCGGAUUACGGCAAUUGAACAAAGGUGGUACCGCGAUUAUUCGCCCUUUGC